CGAAGGACAGAGGGAGAAGAGAGAGAGAGUUCGCGUCAGAGGAGAGAGGGAGCUCGUGCCUCACCGCCAUCACCCAUGGAGCCACGAGCUACGCCAGUCGCCGCCGCGUCGCGUCGGAGAGGAAGCCUGAGACUGAGCGCCGCUGGGAGAGAGGAAGACGCGGGCUGGAGGAGUUGCAUCCAGUCGCCGCUGUCGUGCUCUGCCGCCGUGAAACUCCUCUCUGCUGGGGUGCAACCACCGUGCCCAGCCAUGCUUGCGUCGCCGCACCGCCUUCGUCGGAGUUGCCGCCGUCAGAAAAUGGUUUAGGCCGCCGAAGGUGCCGCUGCAGGAGAGGAAGCUGCGCCUCUGUGUUUCUGGCCGUCGAGAGUGGUUAUGUGGCUUCUGGGAUCACUGCCGGAGCUCCGGGCUGAGCUUUUACCACUUGAGACCCUGCUGUCGUCGCCGGAAAAGUUUGCCGUUGUCGUGAUCGGAAUUUGUCGCCGCUGCCGCUUGAAGUGGCUGCCGGGCUGCCGCCGAACCGGCCCGGAGACUGUCGCUGUUUCGGUUCAGCCGUUCUUUC